rnacentral:lncRNA from 1 species
AUCGCCUCCUGACUCAAAUUCCUCCCUUUGAAAGUGAGGUCUCUUAUGAGUGACUCUGACUGGUGAGGUCCGAGUCACAUGUCUGUGCCCAGCUGCAAAGGAGACUGGGUAACCAAGUUUCUGAUUUCUGCCUUGGGGAGGUGUGACUCAUGAGGCUGGAGGCUCUGGAACUCGCCAAGGAUGUUUGUGUGACGUCAAACCAACUAACAACGAACAUGAUAAAGUCUGCUGCAAGGACGCGGAUACUGUCUACCCAGCACCCAGUUCCCACUUCCUCCUCCCUCACAGGACCCCGUGUUUGUUUGUGCCUCUGGGAGAAGCUGGCCCCACCCCCAGCUCCUGGCUGACCUGAUUGGUCUGAGGUAAUUCCAUUUUUCUUGCCAGCGAUUGGUCAGGAAUGGGCCAAUGAGAUGCAAGGAGAUGUAAUGAGGGGUAGGGGGAAGUCUUUACACUCUGCAAGAGUCUCUGAGAGUUGUUCUCUUCUGUUUUUUUCUGAACGCUGUCGUGGGUGGAUCUAAGGCUCUGAACUGCCCUAGUCAUCUUGUGGUCUGGUCUGAAGAUGAUGGAUACACGAAAAAGAAUCACAGGACCAGGUUUCCAGAUCAUACCAGAUCUCCACCAGAUUCUGCCCUACCUCCAGGUUCCAGAGCUAGUAAGUUUCCGAGUGAGCUGGGCCGCUUUGAGCUGUUGGAUGUUCUGUUCUUUGCCCUGAAGCCCCCCUGGCAGCUACAGCGUUCACUGGUCGCUUAUGUGUAACGGUGGCCCAAUCCCAGGAGAUGGCGCAGCUGGCAUCUGGGUGGUGCUGAGUGGGCUAAAGAAUGGCCCCUCUCCUCACCCUCAAAUGCCUUCCCAUUGGCACAUGUGACAGUGCCUGAGAUGUAUUAAGGAAGGUCUUUCCUUUCAAGGCAGCCUGGUGUCUAGGGGGCCCUGUUGAGGACAGAAAUGUUCCAAGAAGAGAUGGCCCAGAGUCAGUGAGCAUCUCAGAGAGUGGAGGACUUUAUCAGGGAGGUGCAAAGCCCCUCGUCACCUGGGACUCAGAUGGAAAGAGACCUUGGGCAGAAGGGCAGGGGGACAGAGCCCCUGCCCCAGUG